rnacentral:rRNA from 1 species
GAUGAACGCUGGCGGCGUGGAUAAGGCAUGCAAGUCGAACGAUCCGUCUUCGGACGGAGAGUGGCAAACGGGGUAGUAACACGUGGGUAUGCACCGUGCACACUGGAAUAACUCGGGGAAACUCGGGCUAAUACCAGAUGGUUCCCGCAAGGGUAAAGGUUUUCGCUUCUGCGGAUUCCGGUGCAUGAGCGGCCUGCGGGCUAUCAGCUUGUUGGUAGGGUAAAAGCCUACCAAGGCUAUGACGGCUAGGGGAGGUGAGAGCCUGACCCCCACCACUGGGACUGAGACACGGCCCAGACACCUACGGGUGGCUGCAGUCGAGAAUCUUCCACAAUGGGCGAAAGCCUGAUGGAGCGACGCCGCGUGAUCGAAGAAGUCCUUCGGGAUGUAAAGAUCUUUUAUAGGGGAAGAAGGUUGUCUUUUGGCAAUUUGACAUCACCCUAGGAAUAAGGGGUUGCUAAACUCGUGCCAGCAGCAGCGGUAAUACGAGUGCCCCAAGCGUUAUCCGGAUUUACUGGGCGUAAAGGGUCCGUAGGGGGUUUUGUUAGCCUCGCUUUAAAGCUCUGUGCUCAACACAGAAAAUGGGCGAGGAACGGCAAAACUAGAGGAUGCGAGAGGUCGACGGAACUCUGGGUGUAGGGGUGAAAUCCGUUGAUAUCCAGAGGAACACCAAAGGCGAAGGCAGUCGGCUGGCGCAUUCCUGACCCUGAGGGACGAAAGCGUGGGUAGCGAAAAGGAUUAGAUACCCUUGUAGUCCACGCCCUAAACGAUGUUCUCCAGUCUUUCGAAGUAUCGACCCUUUGAGAGGCGAAGCUAACGCGUUAAGAGAACCGCCUGGGAAGUACGGCCGCAAGGCUAAAACUCAAAGGAAUAGACGGGGACUUGCACAAGCGGUGGAGCGUGUGGUUUAAUUCGACGAUAAGCGAAGAACCUCACCAGGGCUUGAAAUUCCAGUGGAAAGUCCGAUGAAAGUUGGACCUUCUCACAAGGACCGCUGGGACAGGUGCUGCAUGGCUGUCGUCAGUUCGUGGCGUGAGCUGUUCCCUUAAGUGGGGUAACGAACGCAACCCUCAUUGUCUGUUAGAUAUGUCAGACGAGACUGCCCUGCUACAGCGGGGAGGAAGGUGAGGAUGACGCCAAGUCAGCAUGGCCCUUUGAUGCCCUGGGCAACACACGCGCUACAAUGGUCAGUACAAUGGGUUGCCAAGCCGCGAGGCGGAGCUAAUCCCAUCAAAGCUGGCCUCAGUUCGGAUUGGAGUCUGCAAUUCGACUCCAUGAAGUCGGAAUCGCUAGUAAUCGCGGAUCAGAACGCCGCGGUGAAUACGUUCUCAAGUCUUGUACUCACCGCCCGUCAACUCAAGGGAGCUGGGAGUAGCCGAAGU